GACGAACGCUGGCGGCGUGCUUAACACAUGCAAGUCGAACGGAAAGAGAUGAAAGAGCUUGCUCUUUUAUUAAUUUCAGUGGCAAACGGGUGAGUAACACGUAAACAACCUGCCUUAAGGAUGGGGAUAACAGACGGAAACGACUGCUAAUACCGAAUACGUUCUAAGCAUCGCAUGGUGCAUAGAAGAAAGGGUGGCCUCUACAAGAAAGCUAUCGCCUUAAGAGGGGUUUGCGACUGAUUAGGUAGUUGGUGAGGUAACGGCUCACCAAGCCGACGAUCAGUAGCCGGUCUGAGAGGAUGAACGGCCACACUGGAACUGAGACACGGUCCAGACUCCUACGGGAGGCAGCAGUGGGGAAUCUUCCGCAAUGGACGAAAGUCUGACGGAGCAACGCCGCGUGAACGAAGAAGGUCUUCGGAUUGUAAAGUUCUGUGAUUCGGGACGAAAGGGUUUGUGGUGAAUAAUCAUAGACAUUGACGGACCGAAAAAGCAAGCCACGCA
rnacentral:rRNA from 1 species